UACGAAGGGGGCUAGCGUUGCUCGGAAUCACUGGGCGUAAAGGGUGCGUAGGCGGGUCUUUAAGUCAGGGGUGAAAUCCUGGAGCUCAACUCCAGAACUGCCUUUGAUACUGAAGAUCUUGAGUCCGGGAGAGGUGAGUGGAACUGCGAGUGUAGAGGUGAAAUUCGUAGAUAUUCGCAAGAACACCAGUGGCGAAGGCGGCUCACUGGACCAUAACUGACGCUGAUGCACGAAAGCUAGGGGAGCAAACAGG
rnacentral:rRNA from 1 species